UACGGGGGGGGCAAGUGUUGUUCGGAAUUACUGGGCGUAAAGGGCUCGUAGGUGGCCAACUAAGUCGGACGUGAAAUCCCUCGGCUUAACCGGGGAACUGCAUCCGAUACUGGAUGGCUUGAGUUCGGGAGAGGGAUGCGGAAUUCCAGGUGUAGCGGUGAAAUGCGUAGAUAUCUGGAGGAACACCGGUGGCGAAGGCGGCAUCCUGGACCGACACUGACGCUGAGGAGCGAAAGCCAGGGGAGCAAACGGG
rnacentral:rRNA from 1 species